UGGUUCUCGCAUCGAUGAAGAACGCAGCAAAUUGCGAUACGUAUCAUGACUUGCAGACGUGAAUCAUUAAUUUUUGAACGCACAUUGCACUGAAAGGUAUUCCUCUCAGUAUACCAUGUUGAGCAUAUCCCCUCUCCUAUCUUUAGGGCCUAUGUUUCAAAAUCUAAUCAACUAUGUUAUUAGAAUCUUUGUUCUCAGCAUGGCAGGACUACCCGCUGA
rnacentral:misc_RNA from 1 species